rnacentral:rRNA from 1 species
GGUUGAUCCUGCCAGUAGUCAUAUGCUUGUCUCAAAGAUUAAGCCAUGCAUGUCUCAGUACAAGCCAAAUUAAGGUGAAACCGCGAAAGGCUCAUUAAAUCAGUUAUGGUUCCUUAGAUCGUACCCACAAUUACUUGGAUAACUGUGGUAAUUCUAGAGCUAAUACAUGCAAACAGAGCUCCGACCGGAGACGGAAGGAGUGCUUUUAUUAGAUCAAAACCAAUCGGUGGCGGGUUCGCCCGUCAUCGUACAACUUGGUGACUCUGAAUAACUUUCCGCUGAUCGCACGGUCAUCGCACCGGCGACGCAUCUUUCAAAUGUCUGCCUUAUCAACUGUCGAUGGUAGGUUCUGCGCCUACCAUGGUUGUAACGGGUAACGGGGAAUCAGGGUUCGAUUCCGGAGAGGGAGCCUGAGAAACGGCUACCACAUCCAAGGAAGGCAGCAGGCGCGCAAAUUACCCACUCCCGGCACGGGGAGGUAGUGACGAAAAAUAACGAUACGGGACUCAUCCGAGGCCCCGUAAUCGGAAUGAGUACACUCUAAACCCUUUAACGAGGAUCAAUUGGAGGGCAAGUCUGGUGCCAGCAGCCGCGGUAAUUCCAGCUCCAAUAGCGUAUAUUAAAGUU